AUUUUGGACAAUGGGCGCAAGCCUGAUCAAGCCAUGGCGCGUGAGUGAAGAAGGCNUUNNGGUUGNANAGCUCUUUCGGACGGNNNNNAAUCGAGCAUGNUAAUACCCUGCGCGGACGACGGUAACGUCAUAAGAAGCACAGGCCAAGUACGUGCCAGCAGCCACGGUAAUAAGUAGGGUGCAAGCGUUAAUCGGAAUUACUGGGUGUAAAGCGUGCGCAGGCUGUUGAUUAAGACAGACGUGAAAUCCCCGGGCUUAACCUGGGACCUGCGCUUGUGACUGUCAGCUAGAGUACGGCAGAGGGGGGUAGAAUUCCACGUGUAGCAGUGAAAUGCGUAGAGAUGUGGAGGAACACCGAUGGCGAAGGCAGCCCCCUGGGCCGAUACUGACGCUCAUGCACGAAAGCGUGGGUAGCAAACAGGA
rnacentral:rRNA from 1 species